rnacentral:tRNA from 1 species
AAAAAAAAGUUUUAUCUUUAGAAAUUAGAUUGCAAAUCUAAGAAUAAAUAUUGAUUUA